rnacentral:lncRNA from 1 species
GGAAGAGGAAGUAGACAUCAUCAGAGAGUUUCCAAGGCCCCUCAAUGAGUCACCAGCCGAUUUCUCAACUCAGAGCCUCGUGCUGUGUCACUAGGUUCCCCAUCCUCAGCUUCUGAGAGCUGCAGACAUGGGGUAGCCCUGUGACACUCCCCCACACAUGUCCUCUGUCACCCACGUGUGGGCCCUAGUUUCCUUCCCAGACAGCAACUACAGCCAGACAUGCUGAGGCCUGCAGAAUUUCUCUUCCCACAUGAAUGACUGGGCCACUCUAUGCACAGCACAGCCCUGUGAGCCCCAUACAGCAGGGGAGCUCGGAACUUCCAGGAAGAAAAUACAAGAGGACAGUGGAGGUGGAGCAUCACAACACUCUCCAUGAAUGCCUGGAGGCUGGUACAUGUCCUACCACCACCUACAGCAUUAGGAAAUGCCUGGGCCCCUCUGCCACCCUCACCCUUUAA